rnacentral:lncRNA from 1 species
GAAGAUUAUCAUUUAAGAUGCCAGAAAACACAUUGACGCAUUUUAGCGAUUGAAGCUAGACGCAAGAAUUUUCUCCAAGUCCAGCCCAGCCCAUCUUCCUCAGACACCCAGCAGGUGUCGCUCUUGCAUACAUUUUGCUGCUGGUCCUGUUUUUUCAUUGGCUUGCCAUUUUUAAUUUAUAAUUUCAGAGUAAGUGUUACCCGCAGACAGUUAUCUUGAAAUUCAUACCUAGGAUGGGUGAUAGCCUCUUCCACAUUCAUUUUUCAUCCUAGUUAUCUGAAAAAGACAUUUCAGUGAUAAUAUGUAAACUUGGUCCAGCUUUUAGGGUCUGUAAAUAUUUUUAAAUACUUCUUGGAUGCACAGUCACUUAGAAUUAUUGUACUGAUGUUUGAAUGUCUGAAGGGGCAGUUUAGAGGAAAGAGAGUUUGAUAUGAUCAUUUCCUACUGCAGAAAGGCUAAUGCUUCAAAUAUAAUUUGUCUCUCUUUGAAAGAAAACCACCUAACGCUAAAAACACAGCCAUACUGGGAGUACAGAGAAAGGGUUCUGUAGGAAGAGGCUGGAAGAAAGUUAACUUACUGUUCAAAGUUUUGUCCUAUAAAGAGAACAGGAAAUUCCGUGGGUUGUUUUGCACCAUUCAGCUCAAAAUGUGUUUUUUGUGAUCCCGAAUUAAUUACCUUGUUGGGCAUCUGUGUAGCCCACACUUGAAUGGAAAGUUGCCAACCUAACAUUUCUUUUUGUUCUGAAAAGACCUAGCUGGUGAGAAGUUGGAAUUAUCGGUAUAAUGUAGUGAUAACCAUGGUAGAAUAAUUAUGAAACUGGCCCCAGCAAAGCCCAGCUCAUUGGAAAAAGCCAGCGUUCCUUUUUUCUCCAUUUAAAAUGAAAUAAAAGCAGUGAUAUAAUAGAAAUAUUUCACACCAGCAGGUACCCUGUACCAAAGCCUAUACCAUAACCUAUUUCCAUGUUAUCUCCAGAAGCCUUCUACCCAGCCCGCAAAGUGGGUGUCCUCAUAGCUGUCAACUAAGAAUUACCCCAGAUUUUGAUCCUGGCUGGCUGUGGCCGGCCUGGGAGGGCAGGAGGGAGAGCUGCUCCCACUGAUUUUGUAUCUGAAAUCUUGUUACAGACCUCAAGCAGCAGUGGCUAGGGAAAAUGGCUGUUUCACACUUUCCUGAUGCAUUCCCUGGGGAAACUUAGACUACUCUACUGUCAGGGCCACCCUCCAACUAUCGUGUUUGGGGUUGUUUCAGCAAAGAACAAACAGAACAGUUCUUGGGUACUCUAAGCUACGAGCGUCAGCCACAGUCGCCCUGCCCUGUGUGUAGGGCCCGGUGUAGGCUGGGUCGUAAGAGUGAAGCAGUCACCUCUGCGGAGGUCACUACCCUUGGCUCCAAACUCUAGGGUUCAAGAUUUGGUGCCCCCUCAGCUCUGCAUUCAUGAUUCUGUGUAUUUCCACCCAUCUGGCCAUAGUCCAGAGGCCUGGCUUUCUCUGUUUCUGUGCUUUGUCAAUUUGUUUUAAUAAAUAAGAUGGAUUAUA